rnacentral:rRNA from 1 species
GACGAACGCUGGCGGCGUGCUUAACACAUGCAAGUCGAACGGAAAGGCCCUGCUUUUGUGGGGUGCUCGAGUGGCGAACGGGUGAGUAACACGUGUGUAACCUGCCCUUGACUUUGGGAUAACUUCAGGAAACUGGGGCUAAUACCGGAUAGGAGCUCCUGCUGCAUGGUGGGGGUUGGAAAGUUUCGGCGGUUGGGGAUGGACUCGCGGCUUAUCAGCUUGUUGGUGGGGUAGUGGCUUACCAAGGCUUUGACGGGUAGCCGGCCUGAGAGGGUGACCGGCCACAUUGGGACUGAGAUACGGCCCAGACUCCUACGGGAGGCAGCAGUGGGGAAUAUUGCACAAUGGGCGGAAGCCUGAUGCAGCAACGCCGCGUGCGGGAUGACGGCCUUCGGGUUGUAAACCGCUUUCGCCUGUGACGAAGCGUGAGUGACGGUAAUGGGUAAAGAAGCAUCGGCUAACUACGUG